GAUGAACGCUGGCGGCGUGCCUAAUACAUGCAAGUCGAGCGAAUGGAUUAAGAGCUUGCUCUUAUGAAGUUAGCGGCGGACGGGUGAGUAACACGUGGGUAACCUGCCCAUAAGACUGGGAUAACUCCGGGAAACCGGGGCAAAUACCGGAUAGUAUUUUGAACCGCAUGGUGCGAAAUUGAAAGGCGGCUUCGGCUGUUACUUCUGGAUGUACCCGCGUCGCAUUAGCUAGUGGGUGAGGUGACGGCUCACCAAGGCAACGAUGCGUAGCCGACCUGAGAGGGUGAUCGGCCACACUGGGACUGAGACACGGCCCAGACUCCUACGGGAGGCAGCAGUAGGGAAUCUUCCGCAAUGGACGAAAGUCUGACGGAGCAACGCCGCGUGAGUGAUGAAGGCUUUCGGGUCGUAAAACUCUGUUGUUAGGGAAGAACAAGUGCUAGUUGAAUAAGCUGGCACCUUGACGGUACCUAACCAGAAAGCCACGGCUAACUACGUGCUAGCCGCCGCAGUAA
rnacentral:rRNA from 1 species